UCCCUGGUGGCUCAGACGGUAAAGAAUCUGCUUACAAUGCAGGAGACCUGGGUUUGAUCCCUGGGUAGGGAA
rnacentral:tRNA from 1 species